GAGGGGCUGAUGGGAAAACGCACAGUUUCCACGACCACAAGAUGAAGAUGUAGAAAUGAGGAGAGUGUGAAUUAUUUAGAUUAAUAUCAAAAGCAAAGUCACUGUCUCGCCCAGCAGCAGAACUGUCACUCCCUGCCCCCUCCCCUCUCACUCUAAUCGUGAGAAAUAAAGUCUGUCUUUAUAGGAGGAUUGUCAGUCUGCGCCUCUAGCGUCAUUUUUAGCGGAAUCGAGCCCAGGAUUUAGCGGAAUUAUUAAUAAAUCGCCGCUCCUUUUCCUUUUUUUGUUGUUGUCUGGCAGCAGGAUCAAUGCCUGUAUAAGUAAGAGUCACAGGCAGCCGGUUACAGACGCACAUGCCUUUCAGCGGCAGAAUCGCUGGCUGCGACUGCCAUCUAGCGGACAGUUUCCGGCGGACGAGUUUACAUCAGUAACUGAGACACUACGGGGCAUGUGCACUUUACUGGACUGAUUUUCUGCUUAUUAACCGACUGCUCGGGAGGAUACUAUGGGUGCGAGGAGGGGAUGAGAUUAAGGGCUGUUUCUUGUUUGCAGCAAAGGGUUAAUCGGUCGCCCGACAAGGUGAAGCCAGAAGCAGCCAAAGUGCGCUGAACUGGAGCAACCCCUGGCGCAAGGCGAGAGAGCGGGACGUCUAUUCAUUCCUUUAUCAUCUGCCUCUUCAUUCAUUAGGGACAAGAGACAAAAAAACCGCCCUCCCAAACUUUCCUGAUGCCCGUGUAGCUCGGCUGAGGGGGGGGGGAGAUUUCUCCAUUAGUGACAGCUCCGGAUCUUUUCCAAGCGAAUAGUUCCCUGUUAUUUAUGUCUCUCUCUCCAUUGAAAUAAUGAAGAGAUUUUGCCCGGGCUCAUUGUUGGAUGUUAUUGACUGUGCGACAGAUCUGCUCGACUCCAGUCUCCCGGGCGCUCAAAGGCUGAAACAAAUACGAUUAAAUAAGCACCCCCUGUGUGUGUGGGAAUCAGUAAGAUUUCGGGGCGAGGAGGAGACUGAGAGGAGAGGCAGCAAAGCGGCUUCAGGGAAGGCUGAUUGCGCUCGGCUGGAACUAAACUGCGCCCGGGGAAGUCUUGCGCUCUGCGCUACUACAGCUCUGGCUCCAUUUCCAUUGCUCUGACUGUGAGUAACUGUUGCAUCAUUCCUCAACCGACUGCACUGACUCCAGUAGGGGGAAUGCUCUGGACAAUCACUGGCCUGAAGGCAGCAAGAACUCUGUACUUCUCUCCAAUUCUCUCCAAUUCUUCCACUCAAUGAAUGCUUUUAUUUUUAUGUAGAAAGGCAAUGGAGGGAAUAUUUGCAAGUAAGAUAAUCAGAAGAAACACCUACAUUCUAACAUAUCAUGGGAUUGAAGGAAGCGAAGAAGUACAGAAGAGUCUGGCAGUCUGAUCUAACCCUAAUUGACUACUGGAGAGACUAUGGAGAAUGCAGGUUAUAACAUUAGUUCCAUGCAAAGCUUUUUGUGGUAGAGAUGACAGGUGGGAAAAUAUGCCUUAAAUGAGAUAGACAGAUAUUGGCCCAUUAUGAUAUCAAAUUCUAUCCAAUCAGUGAAGGAAACGACUUAAUGGCAAGGGAUGAAAACCGAAGCAUAUGAAUCCACUCCACAUCGUCACACAUCCAGCUGUGAUGUUUCCACUGAUAUUAUAAAUGACAUUCCAUGGUUUCUAUGUUUGCAGGGACCUUUAAUCCUCCUGUUUACCCUUGUUUCUUAAUUGUUUGACCCUCGCAUUGUAAAAUAUUAAAUUGCUAAUUUUACAUUUAAAUUGCUGCAUAACUUUGUGGAUUCAUAGUGCAAUGAGAGCAAGUGAUCAAUCGUGUAAAGCAGAGGAGGAAAACAGGAUAUAGUUAGAAUAAUUAGGAGCAAUAGUGAGACUUUCCUUUUAUUAUAGUACACAGUUCUGGAUUUAUAAAAAAAAACUUUAAUAAAACUACUCAAAUUAAGGUUCUGACAUGAUGUAUUAUAAAGCAUAUUAGCGAUUUCAAGGCCUUAAAGAGAAUCUGUCAUGAUUUUUAACGAUGUUGUUUUUAUUUCUAAAUUACACUGUUUACACUGGAAAUAAUCCACUC